rnacentral:rRNA from 1 species
ACGGGUGAGUAACGCGUGGGUAACCUGCCUUAUACAAGGGGAUAACAGAGGGAAACUUCUGCUAAUACCGUAUAAAAAUAUUUUACGCAUGUGAGAUAUUUGAAAGAUUUAUCAGUAUGAGAUGGACCCGCGUCUGAUUAGGUAGUUGGUGAGGUAGAGGCUCACCAAGCCGACGAUCGGUAGCCGAUCUGAGAGGAUGACCGGCCACAUUGGGACUGAGACACGGCCCAAACUCCUACGGGAGGCAGCAGUGGGGAAUAUUGGACAAUGGGGGCAACCCUGAUCCAGCGACGCCGCGUGAGUGAAGAAGUAUUUCGGUAUGUAAAGCUCUAUCGAUAACGGAAGAAGAUGACAAGCCGUUAAGGAAGAAGCCCCGGCUAACUACGUGCCAGCAGCCGCGGUAAUACGUAGGGGGCAAGCGUUAUCCGGAUUUACUGGGUGUAAAGGGAGCGUAGACGGCGAAUAAAGUCUGAAGUGAAAUCCCGCAGCUCAACUGCGGAGUUGCUUUGGAAACUUAUAAGCUGGAGUGUCGGAGGGGUAAGCGGAAUUCCCAGUGUAGCGGUGAAAUGCGUAGAUAUUGGGAGGAACACCGGAGGCGAAGGCGGCUUACUGGAAGAUAACUGACGUUGAGGCUCGAAGGCGUGGGUAGCAAACAGGAUUAGAUACCCU